rnacentral:rRNA from 1 species
AGAGCGAACGCUGGCGGCAGGCCUAACACAUGCAAGUCGAGCGCCCCCGCAAGGGGAGCGGCAGACGGGAGAGUAACACGUGGGAACGUACCCUUUGGUUCGGAACAACACAGGGAAACUUGUGCUAAUACCGGAUAAGCCCUUACGGGGAAAGAUUUAUUGCCAAAGGAUCGGCCCGCGUCUGAUUAGCUUGUUGGUGAGGUAACGGCUCACCAAGGCUACGAUCAGUAGCUGGUCUGAGAGGAUGAUCAGCCUCACUGGGACUGAGACACGGCCCCAGACUCCUACGGGAGGCAGCAGUGGGGAAUAUGGACAAUGGGCGCAAGCCUGAUCCAGCCAUGCCGCGUGGAUGAUGAAGGCCCUAGGGUUGUAAAGUCCUUUCGACGGGGAAGAUAAUGACGGUACCCGUAGAAGAAGCCCCGGCUAACUUCGUGCCAGCAGCCGC